AUCUAGCUGAAGAGCCCCAGACGGAACGAAACUCGCGUCCUGGAU
rnacentral:hammerhead_ribozyme from 1 species